AAGUCCUGACUCAGCCCUUUUAUAAAAGGAUUUUAUCCCUCCAAUACUAAAAUAGGGCGGGCUUUUAAUGGGUUAAAUAAUGGGCUUCUAAAGGUUGAGUCUAAGUUAAAAAGGACUGAAAUUGGAUAACUCAUAAGGCCUUUUUUUAUCCUAAUUUUUCUAUUUGUAAAAAUUCCUAACAUCAAAUUAUGAUUCCUUAAAAUAAAAAUUCUCAAUUUCCCUCAAAUUGUGAACCCUAGAAAAAAAAAUUUCCAAAUUCUAAAUCCUAAAAAAAAUCUACUCACGUCAAUAUUGUUGCUGCUCCUCUCAAUCUUCAAUUUAUCACCCUUCUUCUUGCUCGCAACUGCAAAAUCUCACAAGUCAAGAGACACUUUCGCCUUCAAUUUUGUCGAUUGGUGAGAAUUCUCACUCCAUCAUCGUUUCUGUACGAGAGGCCAUUAAAAGGCAAGAAGAAUGGUGGUGGAUGAUAUGUAUUGCAACAGCAAAUUCAACUCCCUGAUGUGGUGUUGAAACAGUUGAAAAGAAAUUUGUAUAUGAGGAUUAGUUCUGUAAUGCCUAGGAAAGUUAGUGCAAAUGAUGUAAAUUGCAGACUUGCACUUUUGAGAAUGUUUUGAACUUCUUGCAGCCUUCAUCUUGUUUGUUGGCUAAGGUUCUUUAUAAUUCUCUUAUAUUGUGUUUAUUUCA